AUUAUUUUGGCAGAAUAGUGCGAUAGAUUUAGAGUCUUUUAAUGUAAUUGAUUUUACAAAUAAUA
rnacentral:tRNA from 1 species